GUGCUCCCUUUGGCAGUACAUAUACUAAAAUUGGAAUGAUACAGAGAAGAUUAGCAUGGCCCCUGCACAAGGAUGACAAGCAAGUUUGUAGAGUAUAAAAUAUAAUA